GGCGGCGGGUGCUAUACAUGCAGUCGAGCGAACGGACGAGAAGCUUGCUUCUCUGAUGUUAGCGGCGGACGGGUGAGUAACACGUGGAUAACCUACCUAUAAGACUGGGAUAACUUCGGGAAACCGGAGCUAAUACCGGAUAAUAUUUUGAACCGCAUGGUUCAAAAGUGAAAGACGGUCUUGCUGUCACUUAUAGAUGGAUCCGCGCUGCAUUAGCUAGUUGGUAAGGUAACGGCUUACCAAGGCAACGAUGCAUAGCCGACCUGAGAGGGUGAUCGGCCACACUGGAACUGAGACACGGUCCAGACUCCUACGGGAGGCAGCAGUAGGGAAUCUUCCGCAAUGGGCGAAAGCCUGACGGAGCAACGCCGCGUGAGUGAUGAAGGUCUUCGGAUCGUAAAACUCUGUUAUUAGGGAAGAACAUAUGUGUAAGUAACUGUGCACAUCUUGACGGUACCUAAUCAGAAAGCCACGGCUAACUACGUGCCAGCAGCCGCGGUAAUACGUAGGUGGCAAGCGUUAUCCGGAAUUAUUGGGCGUAAAGCGCGCGUAGGCGGUUUUUUAAGUCUGAUGUGAAAGCCCACGGCUCAACCGUGGAGGGUCAUUGGAAACUGGAAAACUUGAGUGCAGAAGAGGAAAGUGGAAUUCCAUGUGUAGCGGUGAAAUGCGCAGAGAUAUGGAGGAACACCAGUGGCGAAGGCGACUUUCUGGUCUGUAACUGACGCUGAUGUGCGAAAGCGUGGGGAUCAAACAGGAUUAGAUACCCUGGUAGUCCACGCCGUAAACGAUGAGUGCUAAGUGUUAGGGGGUUUCCGCCCCUUAGUGCUGCAGCUAACGCAUUAAGCACUCCGCCUGGGGAGUACGACCGCAAGGUUGAAACUCAAAGGAAUUGACGGGGACCCGCACAAGCGGUGGAGCAUGUGGUUUAAUUCGAAGCAACGCGAAGAACCUUACCAAAUCUUGACAUCCUUUGACACUCUAGAGAUAGAGCCUUCCCCUUCGGGGACAAAGUGACAGUGGUGCAUGGUUGUCGUCAGCUCGUGUCGUGAGAUGUUGGGUUAAGU
rnacentral:rRNA from 1 species